CAACUGCUGCUUGUCUUUAUCUAUAUGUCUCUGGUUACGUGCAUCACGUGUUUUUCAAAAACUCGGGAAUAUUAAAAAUCCGUAUUAAUCGAUGCGAAAAAUAUAAAAACCGUGCUUGUGCCUCAGUGUUAUGAUGUGUCUUCAAGACGGAAAUUACGGUAUAAUUAUGGCUAAAAACCCCGCAAACAUGGAAAGGUGAUACCGCUGUUCUGGACUUGAAGCAUUGAAGACGCUAGGGAUCACGUGAGAAAACCACACACGAAAAAUGUUCGCAUAAGAGACAAGUAAGGUUGUCUGAACCUAAUUAUUCGUCUAUUAAUGUAAAACUAUUAUCUGUAUUUUUUUAUUUUUACCA